GUUAUAUGGUCAAGUGAAGAAGCGCAUACGGUGGAUGCCUUGGCAGUCAGAGGCGAUGAAAGACGUGGUAGCCUGCGAAAAGCUUCGGGGAGUCGGCAAACAGACUUUGAUCCGGAGAUGUCUGAAUGGGGGAACCCAGCCAUCAUAAGAUGGUUAUCUUGUACUGAAUACAUAGGUGCAAGAGGCGAACCAGGGGAACUGAAACAUCUAAGUACCCUGAGGAAAAGAAAUCAACCGAGAUUCCCUUAGUAGUGGCGAGCGAACGGGGACUAGCCCUUAAGUGGCUUUGAGAUUAGCGGAACGCUCUGGAAAGUGCGGCCAUAGUGGGUGAUAGCCCUGUACGCGAAAAUCUCUUGGUCAUGAAAUCGAGUAGGACGGGGCACGAGAAACCUUGUCUGAAUAUGGGGGGACCAUCCUCCAAGGCUAAAUACUACUGACUGACCGAUAGUGAACUAGUACCGUGAGGGAAAGGCGAAAAGAACCCCGGAGAGGGGAGUGAAAUAGAUCCUGAAACCGUAUGCGUACAAGCAGUGGGAGCCCACUUUGUUGGGUGACUGCGUACCUUUUGUAUAAUGGGUCAGCGACUUAUUUUCAGUGGCGAGCUUAACCGAAUAGGGGAGGCGUAGCGAAAGCGAGUCUUAAUAGGGCGUCUAGUCGCUGGGAAUAGACCCGAAACCGGGCGAUCUAUCCAUGGGCAGGUUGAAGGUUAGGUAACACUGACUGGAGGACCGAACCGACUACCGUUGAAAAGUUAGCGGAUGACCUGUGGAUCGGAGUGAAAGGCUAAUCAAGCUCGGAGAUAGCUGGUUCUCCUCGAAAGCUAUUUAGGUAGCGCCUCAUGUAUCACUGUAGGGGGUAGAGCACUGUUUCGGCUAGGGGGUCAUCCCGACUUACCAAACCGAUGCAAACUCCGAAUACCUACAAGUGCCGAGCAUGGGAGACACACGGCGGGUGCUAACGUCCGUCGUGAAAAGGGAAACAACCCAGACCGUCAGCUAAGGUCCCAAAGUCAUGGUUAAGUGGGAAACGAUGUGGGAAGGCUUAGACAGCUAGGAGGUUGGCUUAGAAGCAGCCACCCUUUAAAGAAAGCGUAAUAGCUCACUAGUCGAGUCGGCCUGCGCGGAAGAUGUAACGGGGCUCAAACCAUGCACCGAAGCUACGGGUAUCACUUAGGUGAUGCGGUAGAGGAGCGUUCUGUAAGCCUGUGAAGGUGAGUUGAGAAGCUUGCUGGAGGUAUCAGAAGUGCGAAUGCUGACAUGAGUAACGACAAUGGGUGUGAAAAACACCCACGCCGAAAGACCAAGGUUUCCUGCGCAACGUUAAUCGACGCAGGGUUAGUCGGUCCCUAAGGCGAGGCUGAAAAGCGUAGUCGAUGGAAAACAGGUUAAUAUUCCUGUACUUCUGGUUAUUGCGAUGGAGGGACGGAGAAGGCUAGGCCAGCUUGGCGUUGGUUGUCCAAGUUUAAGGUGGUAGGCUNNNNNNNNNUAACCAGGAACCGUACCCCAAACCGACACAGGUGGUUGGGUAGAGAAUACCAAGGCGCUUGAGAGAACUCGGGUGAAGGAACUAGGCAAAAUGGCACCGUAACUUCGGGAGAAGGUGCGCCGGUGAGGGUGAAGGACUUGCUCCGUAAGCUCAUGCCGGUCGAAGAUACCAGGCCGCUGCGACUGUUUAUUAAAAACACAGCACUCUGCAAACACGAAAGUGGACGUAUAGGGUGUGACGCCUGCCCGGUGCCGGAAGGUUAAUUGAUGGGGUUAGCUAACGCGAAGCUCUUGAUCGAAGCCCCGGUAAACGGCGGCCGUAACUAUAACGGUCCUAAGGUAGCGAAAUUCCUUGUCGGGUAAGUUCCGACCUGCACGAAUGGCGUAACGAUGGCGGCGCUGUCUCCACCCGAGACUCAGUGAAAUUGAAAUCGCUGUGAAGAUGCAGUGUAUCCGCGGCUAGACGGAAAGACCCCGUGAACCUUUACUAUAGCUUUGCACUGGACUUUGAAUUUGCUUGUGUAGGAUAGGUGGGAGGCUUUGAAGCGUGGACGCCAGUUCGCGUGGAGCCAUCCUUGAAAUACCACCCUGGCAACUUUGAGGUUCUAACUCAGGUCCGUUAUCCGGAUCGAGGACAGUGUAUGGUGGGUAGUUUGACUGGGGCGGUCUCCUCCUAAAGAGUAACGGAGGAGUACGAAGGUGCGCUCAGACCGGUCGGAAAUCGGUCGUAGAGUAUAAAGGCAAAAGCGCGCUUGACUGCGAGACAGACACGUCGAGCAGGUACGAAAGUAGGUCUUAGUGAUCCGGUGGUUCUGUAUGGAAGGGCCAUCGCUCAACGGAUAAAAGGUACUCCGGGGAUAACAGGCUGAUACCGCCCAAGAGUUCAUAUCGACGGCGGUGUUUGGCACCUCGAUGUCGGCUCAUCACAUCCUGGGGCUGAAGCCGGUCCCAAGGGUAUGGCUGUUCGCCAUUUAAAGUGGUACGCGAGCUGGGUUUAGAACGUCGUGAGACAGUUCGGUCCCUAUCUGCCGUGGACGUUUGAGAUUUGAGAGGGGCUGCUCCUAGUACGAGAGGACCGGAGUGGACGAACCUCUGGUGUUCCGGUUGUCACGCCAGUGGCAUUGCCGGGUAGCUAUGUUCGGAAAAGAUAACCGCUGAAAGCAUCUAAGCGGGAAACUUGCCUCAAGAUGAGAUCUCACUGGAACCUUGAGUUCCCUGAAGGGCCGUCGAAGACUACGACGUUGAUAGGCAGGGUGUGUAAGCGCUGUGAGGCGUUGAGCUAACCUGUACUAAUUGCCCGUGAGGCUUGACCAUAUAACACCCAAGCA
rnacentral:rRNA from 1 species